UGGGGAAUAUUGCACAAUGGGCGCAAGCCUGAUGCAGCCAUGCCGCGUGUGUGAAGAAGGCCUUCGGGUUGUAAAGCACUUUCAGCGAGGAGGAAGGUGGUGAGCUUAAUACGCUCAUCAAUUGACGUUACUCGCAGAAGAAGCACCGGCUAACUCCGUGCCAGCAGCCGCGGUAAUACGGAGGGUGCAAGCGUUAAUCGGAAUUACUGGGCGUAAAGCGCACGCAGGCGGUUUGUUAAGUCAGAUGUGAAAUCCCCGGGCUCAACCUGGGAACUGCAUUUGAAACUGGCAAGCUAGAGUCUCGUAGAGGGGGGUAGAAUUCCAGGUGUAGCGGUGAAAUGCGUAGAGAUCUGGAGGAAUACCGGUGGCGAAGGCGGCCCCCUGGACGAAGACUGACGCUCAGGUGCGAAAGGCGUGGGGCAGCAAACAGGAUUAGAUACCCUGGUAGUCCACGCUGUAAACGAUGUAGAUUUUGGAGGUUGUGCCCUUGAGGCGUGGNUUCCGGAGCUAACGCGUUAAAUCGACCGCAU
rnacentral:rRNA from 1 species